AUCUCAUAAUACAAUUUACUUUGGGGUGGGGGUGGGGGUGAGGCACUAGGGCUGCUGAUUGUCUGAGAUCACUUCCUGGGGUGACUAGGACGCAAGGGUCCUCCAGCUGCUACUCCUCAUGGGCCUCGUGCAGGUGAGAGGGAUUCAGAACCGGAGAAAUGUUCCUGGAAAGGGAUCCUCAAGCAACUAAGGAACCAAGAAAGGGUUAACUUUGAGCCCCACAGUGACUUCAAUCAUUGGCUCAGGGCUGUGUCAGUCAGCGUUCUGGGGGUGGGGUUUGCGGGGCCGCUUUCGGACUGCCCAGCGCCCCUCACUUGCCCCUCGACCCCGCACAUCAUUUCACUUCUGGGCUGCGCCCACACCCCCCCAUCUUGGCGGAGAGAGCUUCCCGGGCCAUGAAGGAGGAGCGGAUCCGGGCAUCCUGGGCUUCCCCACUCCAGCUGCCUGGCUUCCUGAUAGAUGGAAUCCUUCUCUGACCAACGCCACCUACUUAUUCAUUCAACAAAUAUUUAUUGAGGACCUACUAUGUGCCAGGCUCUGGACUAGACAAUAGGUAUAUUUUGGUGAACAAGACAGAUGUGGUCCUUGCCCUCACAGACAACAAGUGAACAGUUGACUUCAAGUUGGCAUCAUGAAGGCUUGGGGAGCACUUCAGAGAUGCCUAUCCUGGACUUGGGAGUCUUGGAAAGUUUCCUGCAGGGAGCCACAUCUGAGCUGAGCCUCACUGCAGCCUAAGAGACGGAAGGUUCACAGCUGAGGAAACUGAGGCCCAGAGUGGUGAAAGGACUUGACUAAAAUCACGUGGUUGGGGAGUGGUAGCUGGAAGAGGUGCCCAGGUCUCCUGAUUCCAUGUCCAGACUCUUUCCACGAGACCACGGCAGCACUGGCGUCCAACUUUCCAUUGGACUGCUUCCUAUGUCUGGCUCCUUUCCCUGUGAGGCCAUAAGAUCUGGGAAGGCAGCCUUGGCCUCCUUAUCUGGAUGUCCCCCAAAGCCUGGUGCAGGGCUCCAAACAGAGGG
rnacentral:lncRNA from 1 species